GAUGAACGCUGGCGGCGUGCCUAAUACAUGCAAGUCGAGCGAACAGACGAGGAGCUUGCUCCUCUGACGUUAGCGGCGGACGGGUGAGUAACACGUGGAUAACCUACCUAUAAGACUGGGAUAACUUCGGGAAACCGGAGCUAAUACCGGAUAAUAUAUUGAACCGCAUGGUUCAAUAGUGAAAGACGGUUUUGCUGUCACUUAUAGAUGGAUCCGCGCCGCAUUAGCUAGUUGGUAAGGUAACGGCUUACCAAGGCAACGAUGCGUAGCCGACCUGAGAGGGUGAUCGGCCACACUGGAACUGAGACACGGUCCAGACUCCUACGGGAGGCAGCAGUAGGGAAUCUUCCGCAAUGGGCGAAAGCCUGACGGAGCAACGCCGCGUGAGUGAUGAAGGUCUUCGGAUCGUAAAACUCUGUUAUUAGGGAAGAACAAAUGUGUAAGUAACGAUGCACGUCUUGACGGUACCUAAUCAGAAAGCCACGGCUACUACGUG
rnacentral:rRNA from 1 species